rnacentral:rRNA from 1 species
CCUACGGGUGGCAGCAGUGGGGAAUAUUGGACAAUGGGCGAAAGCCUGAUCCAGCCAUGCCGCGUGUGUGAAGAAGGCCUUCGGGUUGUAAAGCACUUUCAGUGGGGAAGAAAGCCUUGGGGCUAAUACCCUCGAGGAAGGACAUCACCCACAGAAGAAGCACCGGCUAACUCCGUGCCAGCAGCCGCGGUAAUACGGAGGGUGCGAGCGUUAAUCGGAAUUACUGGGCGUAAAGCGCGCGUAGGCGGUCUGAUAAGCCGGUUGUGAAAGCCCCGGGCUCAACCUGGGAACGGCAUCCGGAACUGUCAGGCUAGAGUGCAGGAGAGGACGGUAGAAUUCCCGGUGUAGCGGUGAAAUGCGUAGAGAUCGGGAGGAAUACCAGUGGCGAAGGCGGUCUUCUGGACUGACACUGACGCUGAGGUGCGAAAGCGUGGGUAGCAAACAGGAUUAGAUACCCCUGUAGUC